GAUGAACGCUGACAGAAUGCUUAACACAUGCAAGUCAACUUGAAUUUGGGUUUUUAACUUAGGUUUGGGUGGCGGACGGGUGAGUAACGCGUAAAGAACUUGCCUCACAGCUAGGGACAACAUUUGGAAACGAAUGCUAAUACCUAAUAUUAUGAUAAUAGGGCAUCCUAUAAUUAUGAAAGCUAUAAGCGCUGUGAGAGAGCUUUGCGUCCCAUUAGCUAGUUGGAGAGGUAACUGCUCACCAAGGCGAUGAUGGGUAGCCGGCCUGAGAGGGUGAUCGGCCACAAGGGGACUGAGACACGGCCCUUACUCCUACGGGAGGCAGCAGUGGGGAAUAUUGGACAAUGGACCAAGAGUCUGAUCCAGCAAUUCUGUGUGCACGAUGAAGUUUUUCGGAAUGUAAAGUGCUUUCAGUUGGGAAGAAAGAAAUGACGGUACCAACAGAAGAAGUGACGGCUAAAUACGUG
rnacentral:rRNA from 1 species